rnacentral:rRNA from 1 species
CCAAUAGCGUAUAUUAAAGUUGUUGCAGUUAAAAAGCUCGUAGUUGAAUUUCGGGAUUGACACAUCGGUCGUGCCUUAAGGGGUAUGAACUGGUGUAGUCAAUUUCUCACCUUCUGGAGAACCGUGAUGUCCUUAAUUGGGUGCCGUGAGGAACCAGGACCUUUACUUUGAAAAAAUUAGAGUGUUUAAAGCAGGCAUUUUUGCUUGAAUACAAUUAGCAUGGAAUAAUAAAAUAGGACGGCAUGAUUCUAUUUUGUUGGUUUCUAGGAUCACUGUAAUGAUUAAUAGAGAUAGUUGGGGGCAUUAGUAUUCAAUUGUCAGAGGUGAAAUUCUUGGAUUUAUUGAAGACUAACUACUGCGAAAGCAUUUGCCAAAGAUGUAUUCAUUAAUCAAGAACGAAAGUUAGGGGAUCGAAGACGAUCGGAUACCGUCGUAGUCUUAACCAUAAACUAUGCCAACUAGGAAUCAGACGAUGUUAAUUUUUUAAUGACUCG